CCCUAGUUUUUAUGAUAUUUUAUAUGAUUAAUAUGAGUAAGAAAUUUGAAAUUUUUGGCGGUUAAUUAUUAUGUUAGAGGAGCUUGUCUUUAGAAAUUACUCUUUAUAUUUUAUUAAUUUUUGUUUAUUUAUCUCCGUUAGAAGGUGAAAACUGUAUAAGUUUUAGUUUAUAUUUCAGGUCAAGAUGUAGCAAUAAUUGGGUAAGAUUAGCUACAUUAAUUGUGAAUUAUGAAUUUAUUUAAAGAGAGAAAACUAUAAUGAAAUUGAAUUUAGUUGUAAUUUAAUUUAGAGUAGUUAGAUGAAAAUUGUAUAGUUUAUGUA
rnacentral:rRNA from 1 species